GACGAACGCUGGCGGCGUGCUUAACACAUGCAAGUCGAACGGAAAGGCCCUUCGGGGUACUCGAGUGGCGAACGGGUGAGUAACACGUGGGUGAUCUGCCCUGCACUUUGUGAUAAGCCUGGGAAACUGGGUCUAAUACCGGAUAGGACCACGGCAUUCAUGUGCUGUGGUGGAAAGCUUUUGCGGUGUGGGAUGGGCCCGCGGCCUAUCAGCUUGUUGGUGGGGUAAUGGCCUACCAAGGCGACGACGGGUAGCCGGCCUGAGAGGGUGACCGGCCACACUGGGACUGAGAUACGGCCCAGACUCCUACGGGAGGCAGCAGUGGGGAAUAUUGCACAAUGGGCGCAAGCCUGAUGCAGCGACGCCGCGUGAGGGAUGACGGCCUUCGGGUUGUAAACCUCUUUCGCCAGGGACGAAGCGCAAGUGGCGGUACCUGGAGAAGAAGGACCGGCCAACUACGUG
rnacentral:rRNA from 1 species